rnacentral:rRNA from 1 species
CUACCCUUAUCGGUGGAUCACUAGGCUCGUGGAUCGAUGAAGAACGCAGCAAACUGCGAUACUUAAUGCGAACUGCAG